AAUACGGGACGCAGCAGUAGGGAAUUUUCGUCAAUGGGCGCAAGCCUGAACGAGCAAUGCCGCGUGAACGAGGAAGGUCUUCGGAUCGUAAAGUUCUGUUUAAGGUUAAAAAGAUCGGAGAGAGGAAAUGGUCUCCGAUUGAUAUUACCCUUCGAGGAAGUCACGGCUAACUACGUGCCAGCAGCCGCGGUAAUACGUAUGGUGCAAGCGUUAUCCUGAUUUACUGGGUGUAAAGUUAUCUUCUACUUUGU
rnacentral:rRNA from 1 species